ACGCGACAACACACACAGCAGCCAAUGAAAUUGUUGUAUUUGAGACUAUAUUUGCAUAUGUGACGCGUUGGUACGUAUGGCCUGGUUGGUAUAAAUACAAACAUCAGAUGUCAUGUUUAUUCAUGAAGGAUGUCGUAAUGGUAUGCUGGUAUGCACGUAUACAAACAUCGAGGGAACAUUAGGCUUGUUUGAGAUGAGCAAAUUCUGCGCAGAACCGAUCACCGGUGAUCACCGCGAGAUGCAUGCCGGUUAGAAAUGUGUCCGAGGGUGGGCUGCCUUGCUCUGAUGUCAUGCCGACGUGUGUCAAAAACCUCUCGCGAGUGCGAGGCGGACGUGUCGGAUUCUGCAGUCGAGGUAUGGCAAGCCGUUUUAACAUUUAAAAGUUAAGUUCGACUAUCCGGAGUUAUCGUUGUAGAUAUCACCGACGUCUUUCUGACUAGUCGUAAUUACAUUUUGGAUAGUCGGAAUUGUCAUUCGAGAUAUCUGUAACGUAAUUGUGACUAGUCGAAACGACAGAUAGAGAUAUCUGCAAUGCAGUUUUGACUAGGCAAAACUGAAUUACAGAUAUCUGCAAUGACAUCAUUGAAAACGACAUUCAACUCGUCACACAUCUUAAAUGACAAUUGCAGAUAUCCGUAAUUCAGUUUUGCCUAGGCAGAAUGAAGGUUAAAGAUAUCUCAAACGUCAUUAUGAAUAGUGAUUAUGGCAUGGUGCCAAUCAGUGCUAAUUGCGAGUUAACAGGCGCGAUUUGAAUGAUUACACUGUAAUGAAUUGCUGUAAAAAUUACAGCAAUAUUUUAAAGCCGAUGGCUGUAUUUUAAUAAUACAGCAUAUUGCUGUAAACUGCAAUGAAUUCCGGGGGCGUGGCGGUUUGAAUCAAAUUUACAGAAUAUUGCUGUAAAUUUCAAAUAUACAGAGGCAUUGUGGGAUUUUCAACGGUCGAGAUUCGGGUAGCAGCAAGAGGAGUGAUUUACAACUGUGGCACUUUGUAGGUAUUUAUCCGGAGAGAGGAACAAAGACGAAAGGAAAAGUGCCAUCUAAAACAACAGGCCAGACAGUUCAGAAGAAACGGGUUGCGUUCAACCUACAUGUUGCCACUCUUCUGUGGAAAGUGAUGGAUUUUCAGUGGAAUUUCUGAAAUCCUCUCUUGACCAUCCUGGGAUGGAACAUCAUCUGGAGCAGAACUGUUCUUUUUUGAUCGCAAGUUUGUUGGACUUGUUGUUUGGCCAUGUUGGUCUGUUCAUGAAGUGAUAAAAAUGAUCCGGAUUUUAAGAAAUGUUUUUAUAUGACCCUAUUGGUCAAGUUAUAGUUAUAACUGUAUUUCAUUUUGUGAAGGGCCAUGAUGGCCAAUAAGUAAUUUAAAAACAUUUUCAUGACAAAAUUUUGUCCAUUUAAAAAAUAAAAUGAUUUUCUAAAUAAAAAAUAAAUUCAAAAUAA